GUUGAAACACCAGUUCACGUAAAAUCAACGAAGUUAAGCAACGUUGAGUCUGGUCAGUAUCUAGAUGAGUAACCGCCUGGGAAUACCAGGUACCGU